ensembl:lncRNA LOC120096691 uncharacterized LOC120096691
CACAGGGGCCCUCUAAGCUGUGGCUGGAUCGCUAGGCUUGCAGCAGUCCUGGGGCACAGGCAGGCACUCUGGCCCUUUAAUGAUUGUGUUUCUUCCUUUCUUGGCUUCAGCCUGCACCUGAGCUGUGGUCCGUGUGGUGGUGCCUUUCUGUCUAAUCUGUUCUGACAGCUAGGAAAGGGCGAACCCACAGGACUAACCCAAUUACAGAACCAGCUCUUACUCCCCGCAGCCCCGGCGAGCACAAGGGCUCUGUGGUGCUUUGGGACCAGCAGGCUGCCAGCACAGAAAGUACUCUCUGGCUCCAGCAUCCCGGAGGUCCUGAGUUCAAUUCCCAGCAACCACACGGUGGCUCGCAACCAUCUGUAAUGGGAUCUGAUGCCCUCUUUUGGUGUGUCUGAAGACAGCGACAGUGAAGAUGGACGGUAAGAAGUAACCUUGGGCCAUGCGUGCACUGGGCAAGUCCUCUGCCCCUGGGUCCCAUCCCUGGCAUGAAGCUAAAGCCCCUUUGCAGACCCGACCCUGAUUCAUUCUCCUCUUUCCUUAUAGAGGGACUGCAUCCAUCUCGUGAAAUCCAAGCCCCUGCUACCUGGGGGUUUCUGACAGGAAACUGUAGCUGACACCUGGUUCUUGCCUCAGGACCAUGGCUCCAAGGGACCAGAGAAGGAGCACCAGGAGGAAAUUGGCUCUUGUGGAUCAUGUUGCAGCUUGGAGACCAGACAGGAGCCCAGCAUGGCCGUACUUGGAAAGGCCCAACAAGCAGCUGGAGGAGCCAGAUGCAAAUGCUUACACCCAACCAAUGAUCCGAAGCUGGGGACCUCUGUGGUUAAAUUACGGAAAAGUUGGAAGAAGCUGAGGUGGAGGGUGGCUCCAUUGGAAGACCCCAGUCUCAACUGACCUGGAUC